rnacentral:rRNA from 1 species
CACGGGUGAGUAACACGUGACUAACCUACCUUCGAGUGGGGGAUAACCUCGGGAAACCGGGGCUAAUACCGCAUAACAUCGUCGGGUGAAAUUCCUGCCGAUCAAUGGAGCAAUCCGCUUGAAGAGGGGGUCGCGGCUGAUUAGCUAGUUGGUGAGGUGACGGCUCACCAAGGCGAUGAUCAGUAGCCGGCCUGAGAGGGCGCACGGCCACACUGGAACUGAAACACGGUCCAGACUCCUACGGGAGGCAGCAGUGGGGAAUUUUGCGCAAUGGGGGAAACCCUGACGCAGCAACGCCGCGUGGAGGAUGAAGUCCCUUGGGACGUAAACUCCUUUCGAUCGGGACGAAUAAUGACGGUACCGGAAGAAGAAGCCCCGGCUAACUUCGUGCCAGCAGCCGCGGUAAUACGAGGGGGGCAAGCGUUGUUCGGAAUUAUUGGGCGUAAAGGGCGCGUAGGCGGUGCGGAAAGUCUUCAGUGAAAUCUCUGGGCUCAACUC